UGGGGAAUUUUGGACAAUGGGCGCAAGCCUGAUCCAGCCAUGCCGCGUGCGGGAAGAAGGCCUUCGGGUUGUAAACCGCUUUUGUCAGGGAAGAAAUCCUCUGAGUUAAUACCUCGGGAGGAUGACGGUACCUGAAGAAUAAGCACCGGCUAACUACGUGCCAGCAGCCGCGGUAAUACGUAGGGUGCAAGCGUUAAUCGGAAUUACUGGGCGUAAAGCGUGCGCAGGCGGUUUUGUAAGACAGAGGUGAAAUCCCCGGGCUCAACCUGGGAACUGCCUUUGUGACUGCAAGGCUUGAGUGCGGCAGAGGGGGGAUGGAAUUCCGCGUGUAGCAGUGAAAUGCGUAGAUAUGCGGAGGAACACCGAUGGCGAAGGCAAUCCCCUGGGCCUGCACUGACGCUCAUGCACGAAAGCGUGGGGAGCAAACAGGAUUAGAUACCCCUGGUAGUCCACGCCCUAAACGAUGUCAACUGGUUGUUGGGAAGGUUCCUUCUCAGUAACGUAGCUAACGCGUGAAGUUGACCGCCUGGGGAGUACGGCCGCAAGGUUGAAACUCAAAUGAAUUGACGGGGUCA
rnacentral:rRNA from 1 species